rnacentral:rRNA from 1 species
GAUGAACGCUGGCGGCGUGCUUAACACAUGCAAGUCGAACGAGAAAUGUAGACGGAAACCUUCGGGCGGAAGCCUUCAUUUCGAGUGGCGGACGGGUGAGUAACGCGUGGGUAACCUGCCUCAUACAGGGGGAUAACAGUUGGAAACGACUGUUAAUACCGCAUAAGACCACAGCAUCGCAUGAUGCGGGGGUAAAAACUCCGGUGGUAUGAGAUGGACCCGCGUUCGAUUAGCCAGUUGGCGGGGUAACGGCCCACCAAAGCGACGAUCGAUAGCCGAUCUGAGAGGAUGACCGGCCACAUUGGGACUGAGACGCGGCCCAAACUCCUACGGGAGGCAGCAGUGGGGAAUAUUGCACAAUGGGGGAAACCCUGAUGCAGCGACGCCGCGUGAGUGAAGAAGUACUUCGGUAUGUAAAGCUCUAUCAGCAGGGAAGAAAAUGACGGUACCUGAGUAAGAAGCCCCGGCUAACUACGUG